GCCUGGAAAGACAUCAGCAACUUAAAAACUAUAUUACAUAAUGAACACCGAUCAUUCGUUAGCUAAGUUAUUUCGAUUAAAAAAUGAGAUUUUGAGAUACGACGUUAUAACCAGUGUGCGGAAAUUUUAUGAGGGCUCUCGCGAUGUUCAUAUUUAUCGAUGAAAUGGUCCGUUACAGCGCGUGCAUUGGCGUAGUUUACUUGGGGUUUAUACAAUUAAUGUUACCGGUCGCUUACAAAAAUCUAAUUAAAACAUAAAUAUUAUUGUUUUAUUAUAAUUACGGAGUACCCAAGAAAAAUUGUGGCAAUAAAAUAAUCGCUAAUUUAUUAAGACUGCGGUAUAUUUGUUGAGAUUAUUUUCUGAACCAAUUUUAAAAUAGCUUCUGAUUGGCUAGUUCAAACCCUGACAAGGCAUCUUACAUGGACACCAAUGAAGAUGUUUAAUACAGGGGAGCGUAAGUCACUAUUACAUUUUGAAAAUGUUGCGUUUUAAUUCAGUGGAAAUUAAAAUUAAAAACUAAAUAAAAAUAUUUUAAUCAUUUUCUCUGAGAAAUUCGCUUGAAUAACUGUGAUUCUUUCUAAAUUCUCGAAAACUGAUUCCGUUUUGCGGUUAAAAUAUCUUUGAAUUUCGAAAAAGAUCUUUCUACAUCACAGCUGGUUACAGGAGUAAAUAAAAAGUUUGGUGCUAAUGCAAAAUAUGUCGAAGGUGCUACAUUAUUCGCUAUUUGUUUUAAAACUAGAAAAUCGGGAUUUCUAGUAACUGCGUCAAUUUUUGCAUUAAAUUUAUCUUGUAAUGACCAUUCUACAGAUUUUAACUCUAUCAAAGUAGACUCAAAUUUCUCAACUGUAAUGGAUAAUUUUAAAUUUUACGUUUCUAGAAAUUUGAUCGUAGUUGGAAUAUUUGAAAAAUUGUUUUCAAUAAAAUUAAGUUGAGAAACUAAAUUUGUGGUUAAAACUAAAGUUUUACAUUGAUUAAUGCUUUGUGCAUCGUCGUUUAAAGCAAUAAACAAAUGAUUUUAAUUGAUUAAAAUUUUUAGAAAUUUGCUUCUAACCAAGUACCCCAGCUUGUAACUACAAUUGUUGAUUCGUCAGAAACGUUACGAUUUGUAUAUUUUUUUUUAAAAGGACUUUAAAGAAGGAUUAUUUAGUUAUCUACAAAAUGUGCUCGAGGUGAAAGCGCAGCGUAUUUCCCUUUGAAACGUGGUGUGGUUGAAAACACUUCAAGGGCUAAAAAUGGUAAAUAAUUAAAAAAAUAUUAAUGUCACACCAAAGAAUACUUAGAAAUGAAUUACAAUUUCGUAAUUUAGUUCUACUGGGUCACUUUUAUGCUUUUUAAAUAAGUACAUGAGAUAAAAAUGUUCUUUUGACUUUUUAGAUAUUAUUAAAAUUAACAGAGAGUUAGGGCGGUUAAAAGUAAAGGUAUAAUUAAUAGAUAAGUGACAUUAAUUAUUUUUUAAUUAUUUACGAAUUACGAUUUUUAGCUCUCGAAAUGUUAUCAAAGGCGAUGAACACGCUUCAGAGGGAAAUACGGUUCGGUUUCACCUCAGGCGCAUUUUGCAGUAAUUUAAAAUUGCAAUAACUUGGUGAGUCUUACAGAUAACGAAAUGAUUCUUGCACCAAAAAUUUAUUUCAAGUAUUAGCUUUAUUUCGUCUCGACUAUGUGGGAGUCUAUCUUUUAAAUUAAAAAACUUUCUCGCAUCUCGAAAAUUUUACUACACAAUUAUGCAACGUUACAAGAAAAUGUAAUUUUUUUGGUUUCCCUUUAUCAAAACUCAACCUUGUUAAACUACGUAUAAAUCUGCAUUUAUUGAAAAUUUGUUUGCAAAAAAACGGAGUUUCUAGCUUUAUCCAGAAGGAAGAUAUGAGUAUGUAAACGCAAAAUGUGUCCAAUUUUAGGUGUUUGCAAAUUUUUAGCCAAAACGUCUUUUCAGUCCCUUCGCGAGAGUUGAAACAAAAAAUUCCUUGACUAAACAUUUUUUAAUACUCUUUCCUAACUUAUAUCAACAAUGCAAGCUGUUCCACAACAUUUCGAUUUAAAGGUUUAUCUGACUGCAAGCGCGCGCCCAUGCACUAACCUUCGCCCAUAAGAUUUCCUCACACUGGUUAUAACACCUAGCCACAGCUUCCUUGAUUAAUGAAGGAACUUUCCCUUCACACGGCUGGCCGCAUUGCUUAGUUCCUUGGCACAUUUUUGUUUCUGAGAGGGAGCCACUAUAAAGUAAAACAAUUCUGACAGUUCUAAGGUUAAGUGUUGUCACAUGCUGUCAGUGCAGAAAAUUUCUAAGGCAAAACGCAUUAGUUUUAGCUGUAUAGUUGUAGAAAACGUAUUCUACAAACAUUUGGCACGUGUUUUUACUAUGAGGAACCAAAAGCGCAUGUUGCCAUGUGAGUGACCAAGAGCAUAUGCCAAGAGCGAACUGCGAAACACAAAACGAACGUAAAAAGCGUCAUACAAACUUGAACAUUUUGCCGAAUACAGCAACUAAUAGAUGGCGCUACAAUAAAGUAAGCUCUCAAAAAACACUUUUUUUGUUCAAUGCGACCAGCCGUGUAAAGGGUACCUCCCUUCACUAAUCAAGGAAGCUGUGCACCUAGCAAACGUUUAGUCUGUGGUGGGAGAACCCUCUAUGAUUCAGUCCUAUUUCAGGACUGUGCAGUUAGGGACAAUAUUUUCAAAAAUAACUUGUGUGAAACAAGGACACAAAAAAUAGCUUGCAAGAACAAAAAAGCCAAAAAAUAAGACUGUAGGCACAAAAAUAAUAGCUGCAACACCAAAAACUGGAAUAAAUUGGUUUAAAAUUUAAAAAUUGUGACAUCACAACAUUCUGGCGGACAUUCGGGCAUGUGACUUAUUGGUGGACGUCACAUGAUGUUACGCCAGCUGCGCAGAAGGCAAGAGCGAGACAGUCGGUAACGAGGAGUGGCACGGGUUACGUCGAGAAGCCACGUAUUAGUGAAUUUCUGGUGUAAUUAAUUAAAAAGCGAAUAAAGGCGUUUUAAAGUAAAAUCUGAGUGUAACAAAUCAAAAAUGGGAUCAAGAUCGGCGUCUGGGGCGGUGAAGAAAGGCGACGUGAACAAGAUGGCGGAUUUUUUGUGCAAAACGACGCCAUUUUGGGGCGAGCGACUGGACGACGGGAGUGCAAAAGGUGAGUACGAACGUCAGAUGAGUGGUGCACGAGUUCGUAAAUGAGAUUUUCAGCAAGAAUUUGGCGACAAAGGUAGCGAGAUCAAAGAUUGCUACAAUUGUCAAGAAUAUGGGUCGCACUUCAGCUGACAUUGUCCGACACAUUAACACAAAGCGGAGAUAACAGUGUUCCAAUCACCAACUUAGACAUGGGAAAGCUGAGGUGGAAGGCGAAACGAAUAAUAGGACGGGCGGAGAAGUGCACAGAGCAAGAGGCGGUAACUAAUGUGUUACAGUGAGGACACUAAAGUGCUGCUGGAUGGCCGACUGUUAGAUCACAAAAUUCUGGCGGGACUUUGGGCGCGAUCUUCCGGCAUGUGUCGCAUUGGUGGACGUCACCGCAGAAGGCGAGAGCGCGAGCCAGUCGACAAUCAAGUGAAUUUCUGGUGUAAUGUAUUAAAAAGUGAAUAAAGGCGAUUUAAAGCAAAUUCUAAUUUUAAAUU